CAGCAGCCGCGGGAAUACGUAGGUCCCGAGCGUUGUCCGGGUUUAUUGGGCGUAAAGCGAGCGCAGGCGGUUAGAUAAGUCUGAAGUUAAAGGCUGUGGCUUAACCAUAGUACGCUUUGGAAACUGUUUAACUUGAGAGCAAGAGGGGAGAGUGGAAUUCCAUGUGUAGCGGUGAAAUGCGUAGAUAUAUGGAGGAACACCGGUGGCGAAAGCGGCUCUCUGGUCUGUAGCUGACGCUGAGGCUCGAAAGCGUGGGGAGCAAACAGGAUUAGAGACCCCUGUAGUCCCUGUCUCUUAUACA
rnacentral:rRNA from 1 species